GACGAACGCUGGCGGCGUGCUUAACACAUGCAAGUCGUACGGUAAGGCCCUUUCGGGGGUACACGAGUGGCGAACGGGUGAGUAACACGUGAGUAACCUGCCCACAACUUUGGGAUAACGCUAGGAAACUGGUGCUAAUACUGGAUAUGUGCUCCUGCUGCAUGGUGGGGGUUGGAAAGCUCCGGCGGUUGUGGAUGGACUCGCGGCCUAUCAGCUUGUUGGUGGGGUAGUGGCCUACCAAGGCGGCGACGGGUAGCCGGCCUGAGAGGGUGACCGGCCACAUUGGGACUGAGAUACGGCCCAGACUCCUACGGGAGGUAGCGGUGGGGAAUAUUGCACAAUGGGCGCAAGCCUGAUGCAGCAACGCCGCGUGCGGGAUGACGGCCUUCGGGUUGUAAACCGCUUUCAGCAGGGACGAAGCUUUUUGUGACGGUACCUGCAGAAGAAGCACCGGCUAACUACGUG
rnacentral:rRNA from 1 species